AAGUAGAUUCCUGCCCUGGUCAGGGAUGGAGUAUGACAUCUCUCCUGCUUCCUGAAACUUUGUUUUAUAUUUUAAAAGUAAAUAAUUUGUUCCAGCCAGAGAGGAAAUGAUGCUGAGAGAAAGACACCAUCACGUGGACAGAAUGUUCUCCCUCGUCCUGGCAGCAGUGUGGAGGAUGAAGCCCUGACUCCACAGCCACUGUUUGGGCCAAGCCCUCAGGGAUCAGGGUAAAUGCCUGGAGGAGGAGGAAGAGGAUGCCUGGACAGAUGUCAAUUCUGGUGACACAAAGACAUCUGUAUGUGCUGUCAGGUGCCAGGACCCUGUGGAGCAUCAUGAACUGGGAAGAGUAGCUGAGCCCCAGAGCCUCUCUGGAAGAGAAAGGAAGAGCCAGCAGUUCUUUCUCCCAGUGCCCGACCUCACCGUCCGGCGUCUUCCUCUGCCCCUGCUCUGCCCUCCCUGGCUCCUGGACUAGAGCCCGGCUUCCAGCAGGACGUUUCCCCAGGGGAUGGGCGACUGUUGAAGGGGAUCUCACCG
rnacentral:sRNA from 1 species